AUUGAACGCUGGCGGCAGGCCUAACACAUGCAAGUCGAGCGGAUGAAGGGAUCUUGCUCCUUGAUUCAGCGGCGGACGGGUGAGUAAUGCCUAGGAAUCUGCCUAGUAGUGGGGGAUACCGUCCGGAAACGGGCGCUAAUACCGCAUACGUCCUGAGGGAGAAAGUGGGGGAUCUUCGGACCUCACGCUAUCAGAUGAGCCUAGGUCGGAUUAGCUAGUUGGUGGGGUAAAGGCCUACCAAGGCGACGAUCCGUAACUGGUCUGAGAGGAUGAUCAGUCACACUGGAACUGAGACACGGUCCAGACUCCAACGGGAGGCAGCAGUGGGGAAUAUUGGACAAGGGGCGGAAGCCUGAUCCAGCCAUGCCGCGUGUGUGAAGAAGGUCUUCGGAUUGUAAAGCACUUUAAGUUGGGAGGAAGGGCAGUAAGUUAAUACCUUGCUGUUUUGACGUUACCAACAGAAUAAGCACCGGCUAACUUCGUG
rnacentral:rRNA from 1 species